GCAUUGUUCAACUUCGCUUCACCUCGCUGUUCGGAGCACCGAUCGCUAGCAUCGCCCCGUCGUUCUCGUCGCCGAAUUUUUCGUCUUCGACGCAGAGCAUUGUGUCAUGGAUUCCGUAAGGGGAUAAAUUGGGAUUCAUAUGCUGCUGGCUGCUGAGCAAGAGGUUCAAGGGGCUCACCGACAAUGGUUUCUGACUCCAAGAGGCCGACCAAGUACUUCGACCAUUUACUCAGGGGACAACCGAGUAAAUCGACGUGGAGGAAGCACAUGCUACUUGGAAAAAAGAAGUCUCCACACCUACUCGGGCAUAUGUUCUCGAGCACCGAGUGCCGCCUCUGCCUCCAAAGGUUAGGGGAGCCCAAGAGGGCCCUCAACCUCGUCCUCCCGAGCCCUGGCCUCAAGCUAUAUAAUAUGUGGAGGUUAAUCAGGUGGAGUGUCUUGAAUUUUGCACAUAUCAUUGUUCUACGAUCCACGAUACAAUAAAUUAUCUAUCAUUACAAUCGGGCAAA